GACGAACGCUGGCGGCGUGCUUAACACAUGCAAGUCGAACGGAAAGGCCCUGCUUUUGUGGGGUGCUCGAGUGGCGAACGGGUGAGUAACACGUGAGUAACCUGCCCUUGACUUUGGGAUAACUUCAGGAAACUGGGGCUAAUACCGGAUAGGAGCUCCUGCUGCAUGGUGGGGGUUGGAAAGUUUCGGCGGUUGGGGAUGGACUCGCGGCUUAUCAGCUUGUUGGUGGGGUAGUGGCUUACCAAGGCUUUGACGGGUAGCCGGCCUGAGAGGGUGACCGGCCACAUUGGGACUGAGAUACGGCCCAGACUCCUACGGGAGGCAGCAGUGGGGAAUAUUGCACAAUGGGCGGAAGCCUGAUGCAGCAACGCCGCGUGCGGGAUGACGGCCUUCGGGUUGUAAACCGCUUUCGCCUGUGACGAAGCGUGAGUGACGGUAAUGGGUAAAGAAGCACCGGCUAACUACGUGCCAGCAGCCGCGGUGAUACGUAGGGUGCGAGCGUUGUCCGGAUUUAUUGGGCGUAAAGGGCUCGUAGGUGGUUGAUCGCGUCGGAAGUGUAAUCUUGGGGCUUAACCCUGAGCGUGCUUUCGAUACGGGUUGACUUGAGGAAGGUAGGGGAGAAUGGAAUUCCUGGUGGAGCGGUGGAAUGCGCAGAUAUCAGGAGGAACACCAGUGGCGAAGGCGGUUCUCUGGGCCUUUCCUGACGCUGAGGAGCGAAAGCGUGGGGAGCGAACAGGCUUAGAUACCCUGGUAGUCCACGCUGUAAACGGUGGGUACUAGGUGUGGGGUCCAUUCCACGGGUUCCGUGCCGUAGCUAACGCUCUAAGUACCCCGCCUGGGGAGUACGGCCGCAAGGCUAAAACUCAAAGGAGUUGACGGGGCCCCGCACAAGCGGCGGAGCAUGCGGAUUAAUUCGAUGCAACGCGUAGAACCUUACCUGGGUUUGACAUGGAUCGGGAGUGCUCAGAGAUGGGUGUGCCUCUUUUGGGGUCGGUUCACAGGUGGUGCAUGGCUGUCGUCAGCUCGUGUCGUGAGAUGUUGGGUUAAGUCCCGCAACGAGCGCAACCCUUGUUCACUGUUGCCAGCACGUUAUGGUGGGGACUCAGUGGAGACCGCCGGGGUCAACUCGGAGGAAGGUGGGGAUGACGUCAAGUCAUCAUGCCCCUUAUGUCCAGGGCUUCACGCAUGCUACAAUGGCUGGUACAGAGAGUGGCGAGCCUGUGAGGGUGAGCGAAUCUCGGAAAGCCGGUCUCAGUUCGGAUUGGGGUCUGCAACUCGACCUCAUGAAGUCGGAGUCGCUAGUAAUCGCAGAUCAGCAACGCUGCGGUGAAUACGUUCCCGGG
rnacentral:rRNA from 1 species